GAUGAACGCUGGCGGCGUGCCUAAUACAUGCAAGUCGAGCGAACAGACGAGGAGCUUGCUCCUCUGACGUUAGCGGCGGACGGGUGAGUAACACGUGGAUAACCUACCUAUAAGACUGGGAUAACUUCGGGAAACCGGAGCUAAUACCGGAUAAUAUAUUGAACCGCAUGGUUCAAUAGUGAAAGACGGUUUUGCUGUCACUUAUAGAUGGAUCCGCGCCGCAUUAGCUAGUUGGUAAGGUAACGGCUUACCAAGGCAACGAUGCGUAGCCGACCUGAGAGGGUGAUCGGCCCCACUGGAACUGAGACACGGUCCAGACUCCUACGGGAGGCAGCCGUAGGGAAUCUUCCGCAAUGGGCGAAAGCCUGACGGAGCAACGCCGCGUGAGUGAUGAAGGUCUUCGGAUCGUAAAACUCUGUUAUUAGGGAAGAACAAAUGUGUAAGUAACUAUGCACGUCUUGACGGUACCUAAUCAGAAAGCCACGGCUAACUACGUG
rnacentral:rRNA from 1 species